rnacentral:rRNA from 1 species
CAGUCAUACCAACGGGAAAUCAACCUUUUGAGUUCGGUCUUGUGGGUUUGAAGAGUUUCAAAGCCUUCGGAUUUGUGAGAUUGGGAUCUCUUGGUGCACUUUUCGUACGGUUAGUCAACAUCGGUUUUAAUCAUUAUAAAAUGAUUGGAGGAAUGUAGCUUUGAUCUCGUAUCGAAGUGUUAUAGACUCUGGUAGAUGUGACGGUUGGGAUUGAGGAUUGCAACGGAUACCCUUCGGGGGCCUACCCGGUCUGAUCUCUGAAGGUUGCUCCGGUGCCGAAAGCGUGCUUACGGUCAUCGAAAGUGAUUUUACAAAGGUUAGAACGGGUUAAAUUCGUUAAGGAUGUUGACGUAAUGG